rnacentral:rRNA from 1 species
UACGUAGGAGGCAAGCGUUGUCCGGAAUCACUGGGCGUAAAGCGCGUGUAGGUGGUGCGACAAGUCUGCUGUGAAAGCGCCUGGCUUAACCGGGCGAGGUCGGCGGAAACUGACGUACUGGAGGCCGGUAGAGGGGGGUGGAAUUCCCGGUGUAGUGGUGAAAUGCGUAGAGAUCGGGAGGAACACCAGUGGCGAAGGCGGCCCCUGGGCCGGGCCUGACACUGAGACGCGAAGGCGUGGGGAGCGAACGGG